AGUGAACGCUGGCGGCGUGCUUAACACAUGCAAGUCGAACGGUAACAGGAACUAGCUUGCUAGUUUGCUGACGAGUGGUGCACGGGUGAGUAAUAUAUAGUUAAUGUACCCCAAAGACUGGGAUAGCCACUGGAAACGGUGAUUAAUACUAGAUACACCUCUUUAACAUAAGUUAGAGAGGGAAAUGUCUUUUCGCUUUGGGAUCAGACUAUAUCCUAUCAGUUAGUUGGUGAGGUAAUGGCUCACCAAGGCAAUGACGGGUAGCGGGUUUGAGAGGAUGAUCCGCCACACUGGUACUGAGACACGGACCAGACUCCUACGGGAGGCAGCAGUGAGGAAUAUUGCACAAUGGAGGAAACUCUGAUGCAGCAACGCCGCGUGGAGGAUGACGCAUUUCGGUGUGUAAACUCCUUUUAUGAGUCAAGAAAAUGACGGUAGCUCAUGAAUAAGCACCGGCUAACUCCGUGCCAGCAGCCGCGGUAAAG
rnacentral:rRNA from 1 species